rnacentral:rRNA from 1 species
GCUGAGAACUCUAGGGAGACUGCCGGUGACAAACCGGAGGAAGGUGGGGAUGACGUCAGGUCAUCAUGGCCCUUACGGCCUGGGCUACACACGUGCUACAAUGGUGGUGACAGUGGGCAGCGAGACGGCAACGUCGAGCUAAUCUCCAAAAACCAUCUCAGUUCGGAUUGGGGUCUGCAACUCGACCCCAUGAAGUCGGAAUCGCUAGUAAUCGCGAAUCAGAAUGUCGCGGUGAAUACGUUCCCGGGCCUUGUACACACCGCCCGUCAAACCAUGGAAGCUGGGAGUGCCUGAAGUCGGUUACCGCAAGGAGCCGCCUAGGGUAAAACUGGUAACUAGGGCUAAGUCGAAACAAGGUAGCCGUACCGGAAGGUGCGGCUGGAACACCUCCUU